UUAACUGAAACCAAAGAGAGGUAUAUUAUUGUUAAUAAUAAAACUGAAUGAAUCCAUUCCAGUUAAA
rnacentral:tRNA from 1 species